GUGGGGAAUCUUGCGCAAUGGGCGAAAGCCUGACGCAGCCAUGCCGCGUGAAUGAUGAAGGUCUUAGGAUUGUAAAAUUCUUUCACCGGGGACGAUAAUGACGGUACCCGGAGAAGAAGCUCCGGCUAACUUCGUGCCAGCAGCCGCGGUAAUACGAAGGGGGCUAGCGUUGCUCGGAAUUACUGGGCGUAAAGGGCGCGUAGGCGGACAGCUUAGUCAGAGGUGAAAGCCCAGGGCUCAACCUUUGAAUUGCCUUUGAUACUGGCUGUCUUGAGUUUGGGAGAGGUGAGUGGAACUCCGAGUGUAGAGGUGAAAUUCGUAGAUAUUCGGAAGAACACCAGUGGCGAAGGCGACUCACUGGCCCAAUACUGACGCUGAGGCGCGAAAGCGUGGGGAGCAAACAGGAUUAGAUACCCUUGUAGUCC
rnacentral:rRNA from 1 species